AAUCAGUCUACAUCGUGCUUUCAAAUUUCAAAAUUACUAUGAAAUGAUAUCUCGAUUUCAAGAUCUUUUUACUUAUUCGAUGAUUCUCAAUCUUUGUUUUUCUUCAUAGCUUGGAAAUCGCUAUGUGUGGUGAAGUUUCGGAGAAGUCGCCUAGGGCUUUUUGGGCUUUCCGGCGACUUGGUUAUCAGAAACUGCAGCCAUGAUUCUAGGCGCUGGCAUUAAACUCAUCAGUUUUCAUCUACAAAAAUGCUUCAGCUAUGUUAAUGGAUAUCAAAUUCAAGUUCCAGUCUCUUUCCUGUCAGACUUUACUAUCGGAAGAAUGAAGGAUUCUCCAAUGGUAUAUCUUUUACAUAUCCUAUUUUAUAUACAACCUUUACUAUCUGCUUACACUUCUGAUCAUUGCUAUUUGUAAAAAUGAAGCUCAUGCCUUGGGAAUUGGUUUUGCUUUAAAAUCCAAUGUUACAUCUGACCAUUCAUCUACAUUGUCACACAAGAAAAGUUAAUUUUUUUUCCGGUUGCACUAUACCUUUCUUUAAUAAAAUCGGGCUUUAAAAAAAAUACAAUAAAAGUAGGCAAAAUGGAACCUGAUUUUUAAUACCUGUGUUUAUCAGUGUCUUAGCUACUUCAUGUGUUCCCCAUUUCUUCUUCACAGGCUGUUUUAAAUUUUAAAUUUGGUCGCAAUACUUAUGGGUAUCUUACGCCAUCAUAGAGAAGGCUGCGUUGUGUUGACCUGUCUGGUAUGAAUAUAAUGUAGGGUAUUAUUUGUGCAGACUUUACAUGUGGUGUUUUCUCAAAAUCUAGGUCCAAGACCUCAUGUAUCACUUUCAAGGCUUAUAAAUAGGACAUACACAGGAAAUGCGAGAGUCGCAGGCAUUUGGGAAAGGAGGUAAGUACAAAGCAUGUUAACAAUACAUGGAUCAAACUGAUUUUAUAAGUUUUUUGUAUGACUUACUGGUACUUGGAUACUCUAGGCAAAUUAUAUGAAUUUUUAUUAAUGGAUAUAAAAUGCAAUCUUAGAAAAUGAAUAAAUAAUAACCUAUGCACAUGAUUGAUUAUUGAACCCAUAAUUUCGCAUAGAAGAACUGGUGGAAUGUUACUAAGAUCUAAUGCAUUAUUUUGUAGUUUCUAGGGAAGAGAAAGACAAAAAACCGAUUGCCACUAGGAGGCAUGUAUUGUUUAUUUUUUUCCUAAGUCUAUAUUCAGAUAUGUGUAUCCCGUUGGCAGAUUUUUUUGGUGGAGUUAUAUAUUGAUGCAUCAAAUCAGAAUGGGCUUUUAAAGGCUGGCUUAAUGUCUACAUACUCAUGCAAGCAAAAUUUAUAGUAGCAGAUAUAUAUGCAGUGGAGACAUAUAUGUCAUAAUAUUUAUUUUACCAACACAAUCUGUACGUACAUGAAUUAGGUUUGCCUUGCCUUUUGAAAUUAGAGAGAUUUGGUUCUAUUAUCAGUUUUUGAUUUUAAAGCGAUUGCCUGCACAAUCAAAUUAUGGUGGAUUUUUUUUUUUUUUGGAGUGUGAACCCAUACAUGUUGAGGAAAAAGUAUUUAACAUAGGUAUAAUGAGUUAGUCUCCUAAUUUUUGAAACAUUUUCGGUGACCUUUGCAUUGCUUUUUACAGUCUGCUAAUAAUAUAAUUGUUAUGCAACUUACUAUGAUGAAGAUUAACCAACAAAUAAUAUAUAUGUGAAAAGGUUUAAAAUGACAAUGCUGUUAAUCUGUGCAGAGGCAUUACAGAUUGUAUUAGUGACAGGAUGACAAAUAUAGUGUCGCAUAGUCCUAAAGAUUGCUAAUGACAGGGCUAAUAGCAACGUCAAAAUUAGGUGUGCACGCAUAAUUGUGAAAUUCAAUCAAAGCUGUGAAAUUUGUUUUUGCUGUAACCUAUAAUACUUCUGGUUCCUUCUUUUGUUUACUUUGAAUUUGAAUUAUAUUGU